rnacentral:lncRNA from 1 species
GACACUUUGCAUUUGAAUAUUUUUUCACACUGAAAUGAUAGAAAAGCUGUCGAUGAUAUCCUUAUCAGUAACAAAGCGGUUGCUCCACAUUUUCUGUCUUCAUUCAGCUGACAAAUUAUGACAAGCAAACAAAAACGAAUAUCAACAGGGAACCGCGGUUCAAACUAGUCCUGAAAUUGCUCCUUUACAAUCCCGAGUUAGAACAACUCCUCCUGUUGUUUUCGUUCGUGAUCUUCUAGCCAUGCGCAACCUUGAAUUUCUUGUAACGUGUUUUUUCCUCGCAUCUUCAACAGAUGUUACCCAAACGUAGUUUCAUAAGCACAUGUUGAUUAUAAGUCUCCGAAAAGAAAAAUGGAAGAACAUUCGAGGACACUUCAACUUUACCUCAAUUAAGUUUAUCAUGAACUCGAUGUUUGAGGCUCAAUCUUGGCCGAGCUCGAAACCUUGUCCGUCCCUGAUCUGUAACUCACGCCCAUUUCAGUUGCGCCCCUUCCUAAACUCAAAGUCGGUCCCCUUUCUGAAUUCAUAGUUGCGCCCUUUUCUGAAGUUGAUCCUCUGCCCCUUCCUAUACUCGAAGUCAUGCUGCUUUGUGAAUUUGAAGAACCUUUGUGUCUGCCCCUGAUCUUAAAGUAGCACCCAUUUUAGUUGUGCCCCAUCCUAAACUUACAGUCGUGCCCUUCCUGAAGUUGAACCUCUGCCCCUUCCUGUACUCAAAGUCGAGCUGCUUUGAGAACUAGACGCUAUGCCCCUUCCUGAACUUGAACUUGUGCCCAUAUUAGUUGUGUCCCUUCUUGAACUUGAACUUCUACCCUGUCCUGAACUCAAACUCGUGUCCUGUCCUGAACUCAAAGAAGCGCUGCUUCGUGAAAUUGAAGAUAUGCUCCUUCCUGAAUUUAAUGCCUUGCCCUUUCCUGAAGUGGAANN